rnacentral:rRNA from 1 species
UACGUAGGGUGCGAGCGUUAAUCGGAAUUACUGGGCGUAAAGCGCACGUAGGCGGCUUUGUAGGUUAGAGGUGAAAGCCCGGAGCUCAACUCCGGAAUUGCCUUUAAGACUGCAUCGCUAGAAUUGUGGAGAGGUAAGUGGAAUUCCGAGUGUAGAGGUGAAAUUCGUAGAUAUUCGGAAGAACACCAGUGGCGAAGGCGACUGACUGGACAAGUAUUGACGCUGAGGUGCGAAAGCGUGGGGAGCAAACAGG